rnacentral:rRNA from 1 species
UAGUCCACGCCGUAAACGAUGUUCACUCGCUGCUUGCGAUACAUAGUAAGUGGCCAAGCGAAAGCAUUAAGUGAACCACCUGGGGAGUACGUCGGCAACGGUGAAACUCAAAGGAAUUGACGGGGGCCCGCACAAGCGGAGGAACAUGUGGUUUAAUUCGAUGAUACGCGAGGAACCUUACCUGGGCUUAAAUGUAGAUUGCAUGUGGUGGAAACACCCUUUUCUUCGGAACUAUCUACAAGGUGCUGCAUGGUUGUCGUCAGCUCGUGCCGUGAGGUGUCGGGUUAAGUCCCAUAACGAGCGCAACCCCUAUCGUUAGUUGCCAUCAGGUCAAGCUGGGGACUCUAACGAGACUGCCACCGUAAGGUGAGAGGAAGGUGGGGAUGACGUCAAAUCAGCACGGCCCUUAUGUCCAGGGCUACACACGUGUUACAAUGGCAGGUACAAAGGGCAGCUACACAGUGAUGUGAUGCUAAUCUCUAAAAGCUUGUCUCAGUUCGGAUCG